rnacentral:tRNA from 1 species
GCCCUGAUAGCUCAGUCGGUAGAGCAGGGGAUUGAAAAUCCCCGUGUCGGUGGUUCGAUUCCGCCUCAGGGCACCA